rnacentral:rRNA from 1 species
CGGAGGUACUCGAGUGGCGAACGGGUGAGUAACACGUGGGUGAUCUGCCCUGCACUCUGGGAUAAGCCUGGGAAACUGGGUCUAAUACCGGAUAGGACCAUGCUUUAGUGUGUGUGGUGGAAAGUUUUUCGGUGUAGGAUGAGCCCGCGGCCUAUCAGCUUGUUGGUGGGGUAAUGGCCUACCAAGGCGGCGACGGGUAGCCGGACUGAGGGGUUGGUCGGCCACAUUGGGACUGAGAUACGGCCCAG